GGAGUUGUGGCUCAGAGGUAGAGCACUCAUCUACCAUGUGUGAGGCCCUGGGUUUGACCCUCAGCACCA
rnacentral:tRNA from 1 species